rnacentral:misc_RNA from 1 species
UCACAGUUUGCACUGGCAGUCUUGUUAGAGUCCCCGGCCGAACCGCUGGCAACUAAUGGUAGGGGUUGCGCUCGUUGCGGGACUUAACCCAACACCUCUCGGCACGAGCUGACGACAGCCAUGCAGCACCUAGUUUUGUGCCCUUGCGGGAAGCUCCCUUUCAGGAGCGGUCACUAACUUUCAAGCCCUGGUAAGGUUCCUCGCGUAUCAUCGAAUUAAACCACAUGCUCCUCCGCUUGUGCGGGCCCCCGUCAAUUCCUUUGAGUUUCACCGUUGCCGGCGUACUCCCCAGGUUGAUUACUUAUCGCUUUCGCUCAGCCACUGAAAGUUACCUCCCAGCAGCGAGUAAUCAUCGUUUACAGUGUGGACUAC